GAGGAAUAUUGCACAAUGGGCGAAAGCCUGAUGCAGCAACGCCGCGUGAGGGACGAAGGCCUUCGGGUCGUAAACCUCUUUUCUGAGGGAAGAGACAGGACGGUACCUCGGGAAUAAGUCUCGGCUAACUACGUGCCAGCAGCCGCGGUAAAACGUAGGAGGCGAGCGUUAUCCGGAUUUACUGGGCGUAAAGCGCACGCAGGCGGCUUCGUGAGUCGGAUGUGAAAGCUCCCGGCUUAACUGGGAGAGGCCAUUCGAUACUGCGGGGCUUGAGGUUGGGAGAGGGGUGCGGAAUUCCCGGUGUAGUGGUGGAAUGCGUAGAUAUCGGGAGGAACACCUGUGGCGAAAGCGGCACCCUGGCCCACACCUGACGCUGAGGUGCGAAAGCGUGGGUAGCAAAC
rnacentral:rRNA from 1 species